AUUGAACGCUGGCGGCAUGCUUUACACAUGCAAGUCGAACGGUAACAGGUCUUCGGAUGCUGACGAGUGGCGAACGGGUGAGUAAUACAUCGGAACGUGCCUAGUAGUGGGGGAUAACUACUCGAAAGAGUAGCUAAUACCGCAUGAGAUCUACGGAUGAAAGCAGGGGACCUUCGGGCCUUGUGCUACUAGAGCGGCUGAUGGCAGAUUAGGUAGUUGUUGGGGUAAAGGCUUACCAAGCCUGCGAUCUGUAGCUGGUCUGAGAGGACGACCAGCCACACUGGGACUGAGACACGGCCCAGACUCCUACGGGAGGCAGCAGUGGGGAAUUUUGGACAAUGGGCGAAAGCCUGAUCCAGCAAUGCCGCGUGCAGGAUGAAGGCCCUCGGGUUGUAAACUGCUUUUGUACGGAACGAAAAGCCUGGGGCUAAUAUCCCCGGGUCAUGACGGUACCGUAAGAAUAAGCACCGGCUAACUACGUGCCAGCAGCCGCGGUAAUACGUAGGGUGCAAGCGUUAAUCGGAAUUACUGGGCGUAAAGCGUGCGCAGGCGGUUUUGUAAGACAGUGGUGAAAUCCCCCGGGCUCAACCUGGGAACUGCCAUUGUGACUGCAAGGCUAGAGUGCGGCAGAGGGGGAUGGAAUUCCGCGUGUAGCAGUGAAAUGCGUAGAUAUGCGGAGGAACACCGAUGGCGAAGGCAAU
rnacentral:rRNA from 1 species